GCGAAAGCCUGACGGAGCAAUACCGCGUGGGGGAGGAAGGCUCUUGGGUUGUAAACUCCUUUUCUCAGGGAAGAAGGUCUGACGGUACCUGAGGAAUCAGCAUCGGCUAACUCCGUGCCAGCAGCCGCGGUAAUACGGAGGAUGCAAGCGUUAUCCGGAAUCAUUGGGCGUAAAGCGUCCGUAGGUGGCAUUUCAAGUCUGCUGUCAAAGGUCGGGGCUUAACUCCGAACAGGCAGUGGAAACUGAGAAGCUAGAGUAUGGUAGGGGCAGAGGGAAUUCCUGGUGUAGCGGUGAAAUGCGUAGAGAUCAGGAAGAACACCGGUGGCGAAAGCGCUCUGCUAGGCCAUAACUGACACUCA
rnacentral:rRNA from 1 species